GACGAACGCUGGCGGCGUGCUUAACACAUGCAAGUCGAACGAGUGGCGAACGGGUGAGUAAUGUAUGGGGACUGCCCGAUAGAGGGGGAUAACUACUGGAAACGGUAGCUAAUACCGCAUACUAUCGGAUAACCCAUAUGGGAUUAGCUAGUUGGUGAGGUAAUGGCUCACAAAGGCGACGAUCCCUAGCUGGUCUGAGAGGAUGAUCAGCCACACUGGGACUGAGACACGGCCGAGACUCCUACGGAGGCAGCAGUGGGGAAUAUUGGGCAAUGGGCGCAAGCAUGACCCAGCAACGCCGCGUGAAGGAAGACGGUCUUCGGAUUGUAAACUUCUUUAGACAGGGACGCGGUACCUGUAGAAUAAGCCACGGCUAACUACGUGCCAGCAGCCGCGGUAAUAC
rnacentral:rRNA from 1 species